ensembl:misc_RNA Metazoa_SRP Metazoan signal recognition particle RNA
GCUGGGCAUGGUGGCGCAUGCCUGUAGUCCCAGCUACUCAAGAGGCUGAGGCAGGAGAAUCGCUUGAACCCAGGAGGCGGAGGUUGCAGUGAGCUGAGAUCGUGCCAUUGCACUUCAGCCUGAGUGACAAAGUGAGACUCUGUCUCAA